rnacentral:rRNA from 1 species
AUUGAACGCUGGCGGCAGGCCUAACACAUGCAAGUCGAACGAGUGGCGGACGGGUGAGUAAUGUCUGGGAAACUGCCCGAUGGAGGGGGAUACCUACUGGAAACGGUAGCUAAUCCCGCAUACCAUCGGAUGUGCCCAGAUGGGCUUAGCUAGUAGGUGGGGUAAUGGCUCACCUAGGCGACGAUCCCUAGCUGGUCUGAGAGGAUGACCAGCCACACUGGAACUGAGACACGGUCCAGACUCCUACGGGAGGCAGCAGGGGGGAAUAUUGCACAAUGGGCGCAAGCCUGAUGCAGCCAUGCCGCGUGUAUGAAGAAGGCCUUCGGGUUGUAAAGUACUUUCAGCGAGGAGGCGUUACUCGCAGAAGAAGCACCGGCUAACUCCGUGCCAGCAGCCGCGGUAAUUC